ACUCCUACGGAAGGCAGCAGUGGGGAAUCUUGCGCAAUGGGGGAAACCCGUAGACGCAGCAACACCGCGUGAGGGAAGACGGCCUUAGGGUUGUAAACCUCUUUCAGAUGGGACGAAGGUGAUGCGGUGAAUAGCCGAUGUCAUUGACGGUACCGUCAGAAGAAGCACCGGCUAACUACGUGCCAGCAGCCGCGGUAA
rnacentral:rRNA from 1 species